AACGAACGCUAGCGGCGUGCUUAACACAUGCAAGUCGAACGAGAAAGGGAGCAAUCCUGAGUAAAGUGGCGCACGGGUGAGUAACACGUGGGUAACGUACCCUCGGGUGGGGAAUAACGGGCCGAAAGGCUCGCUAAUACCGCAUCAGACCACGUCCUCUGCGGAGGAUGAGGCCAAAGGUGGCUGUCGCAAGGCAGUUGCCGCCUGAGGAUCGGCUCGCGGACCAUUAGCUAGAUGGCGGGGUAAUGGCCCACCAUGGCUACGAUGGUUAGCUGGUCUGAGAGGACGACCAGCCACACUGGAACUGACACACGGUCCAGACUCCUACGGAGGCAGCAGUGGGAAUAUUGCGCAAUGGGCGAAAGCCUGACGCAGCAACACCGCGUGGGUGAGAAGGCCU
rnacentral:rRNA from 1 species